rnacentral:rRNA from 1 species
UGGGGAAUAUUGCACAAUGGGCGCAAGCCUGAUGCAGCCAUGCCGCGUGUAUGAAGAAGGCCUUCGGGUUGUAAAGUACUUUCAGCGGGGAGGAAGGCGAUAAGGUUAAUAACCUUGUCGAUUGACGUUACCCGCAGAAGAAGCACCGGCUGACUCCGUGCCAGCAGCCGCGGUAAUACGGAGGGUGCAAGCGUUAAUCGGAAUUACUGGGCGUAAAGCGCACGCAGGCGGUCUGUCAAGUCGGAUGUGAAAUCCCCGGGCUCAACCUGGGAACUGCAUUCGAAACUGGCAGGCUAGAGUCUUGUAGAGGGGGGUAGAAUUCCAGGUGUAGCGGUGAAAUGCGUAGAGAUCUGGAGGAAUACCGGUGGCGAAGGCGGCCCCCUGGACAAAGACUGACGCUCAGGUGCGAAAGCGUGGGGAGCAAACA